ensembl:snoRNA Gm23698 small nucleolar RNA SNORA17
CCUGCCCCUAGAGGCAUGGCAGGUGUGGCUGCCCUGUCACAAGAACAUCAAUCAGUAGGUAGCAGGGAGGAAAGAGGCUCAGUCAGUGUUCUGACCUGGGAACAUCUGAAUGAUCAUAGCCUAACAUU